UUAAUUCUGGAGAAAUGUCUACGACAUAUGCAGGAGGCUCUGUCAAUGUGGAUGAGCAUAGACGUAGAUUGACCAAAGAAUUGGGAAAGGAGCCUAAUUUUAUAGAUACUUUCACCCGCACAUUUCAGAAAAAAGAUAAGACUUGGAGCGGGGACAGAGCUAAAGCAAUUAAGGAAAAAUAUGUUGAGCUAGAGGUACCACAGAGAUGUUCAGC